GGGCCUAUCAGAAGCCGCUCUACUCAAGUGAGGCGAUGGAGGGAGAUGGGCUGUUAGCGUUCUGGAAAAGAGGGUUCGCUGUGCUUCUGUUGGUUUGCAGCUCACGGAACAUCGCGCGACUGCGUGAAAGUGUAGAAUGUUCUGGCGUUGCCAUGCAUAAAUGACCCAAUUUUAUAUGUUCACGGAGAAGGAAAAAAUUCACACAAUAAUAAUACAUUCGGGAUCAGUCCUGGACUUCAUCUUUUUAUAAACAGUUGACAAUUUUGGCACACAGACCCUGUGAGGAUCAUGCCUUUUCUAGGAUUCUUAAAUCACUACAGCUGCUGAUAUCUUGCCUGUCCCAGCUCUUAGAGAUAUUAAUUAUUUCAGCUAUAUCUCUAAA